GAUGAAGAACGUAGCGAAAUGCGAUAAGUAGUGUGAAUUGCAGAAUUCUGUGAAUCAUCGAAUCUUUGAACGCACAUUGCGCCCUUUGGUAUUCCUUAGGGCAUGCCUGUUCGAGCGUCAUUUACAAAUUCAAGCUCAGCUUGGUGAUGGGUGUCUGUCCCGCCUUUGCGCGUGGACUCGCCUCAAAUGCAGUUGGCAGCUUAUCCCUCGGCUCUAAACGCAGCAGAUUUGCGUCGAGCGUCGUGUGGACGGGCUCUCCAGUAAGCAAACCCCCCAAAAUUGACCUCGGAUCAGGUAGGGAUACCCGCUGAACUUAAGCAUAUCAAUAAGCGGAGGA
rnacentral:misc_RNA from 1 species